GCGGGGGUUGCCGAGUCAGGUCAAAGGCGUGGGAUUUAGGGUCCCAUCCCGUAGGGGUUCGCCGGUUCAAAUCCGGCCCCCCGCA
rnacentral:tRNA from 1 species